GCCGAGGUGGUGGAAUUGGUAGACACGCUAUCUUGAGGGGGUAGUGGGAGAAAUCCCGUGAGGGUUCGAGUCCCUCCUUCGGCACCA
rnacentral:tRNA from 5 species